GCUUGUCUAGCUCAGUUGGUAGAGCGCAAGGCUCUUAAGCUUAAGGUUGUAGGUUCGAGCCCCACCGUUAACA
rnacentral:tRNA from 1 species